ensembl:snRNA U6 U6 spliceosomal RNA
GUGCUCUCUGCGGCAGCACAUGUGCUAAAUUGAAACAAUAUAGAGAAGAUUAGCAUGGCCUCUGCAGAAGGAUGACACAUAAAUUCAUGAAGCAUUCUAUAUUUAU